rnacentral:rRNA from 1 species
GACGAACGCUGGCGGCGUGCCUAACACAUGCAAGUCGAGCGAGUGGAUUUCCUUCGGGAUUGAAGCUAGCGGCGGACGGGUGAGUAACACGUGGGCAACCUGCCUCAUAGAGGGGAAUAGCCUCCCGAAAGGGAGAUUAAUACCGCAUAAGAUUGUAACUUCGCAUGAAGUAGCAAUUAAAGGAGCAAUCCGCUAUGAGAUGGGCCCGCGGCGCAUUAGCUAGUUGGUGAGGUAACGGCUCACCAAGGCGACGAUGCGUAGCCGACCUGAGAGGGUGAUCGGCCAUAUUGGGACUGAGACACGGCCCAGACUCCUACGGGAGGCAGCAGUGGGGAAUAUUGCACAAUGGGGGAAACCCUGAUGCAGCAACGCCGCGUGAGUGAUGACGGCCUUCGGGUUGUAAAGCUCUGUCUUCAGGGACGAUAAUGACGGUACCUGAGGAGGAAGCCACGGCUAACUACGUGCCAGCAGCCGCAGUAAUAC